CGAAAGCCUGAUGCAGCAACGCCGCGUGCGGGAAGAAGGCCUUAGGGUUGUAAACCGCUUUCAGCAGGGAAGAAACUGACGGUACCUGCAGAAGAAGGUGCGGCCAACUACGUGCCAGCAGCCGCGGUGACACGUAGGCACCAAGCGUUGUCCGGAUUUAUUGGGCGUAAAGAGCUCGUAGGCGGUUCGGUAAGUCGGGUGUGAAAAACUCUGGGCUCAACCCAGAGAUGCCACCCGAUACUGCCGUGACUCGAGUGCGGUAGGGGAGCGGGGAAUUCCUGGUGUAGCGGUGAAAUGCGCAGAUAUCAGGAGGAACACCAGUGGCGAAGGCGUCGCUCUGGGCCGUAACUGACGCUGAGGAGCGAAAGCGUGGGUAGCAAACAGGAUUAGAUACCCUGGUAGUCCACGCCGUAAACGUUGGGCACUAGGUGUGGGUCUCAACCAACGAGAUCCGCGCCGUCGCUAACGCAUUAAGUGCCCCGCCUGGGGAGUACGGCCGCAAGGCUA
rnacentral:rRNA from 1 species